rnacentral:rRNA from 1 species
UACGAAGGGGGCUAGCGUUGUUCGGAAUCACUGGGCGUAAAGCGCACGUAGGCGGAUCUUUAAGUCAGAGGUGAAAUCCCGGGGCUCAACCUCGGAACUGCCUUUGAUACAGCACGUCUUGAGUCCGAUAGAGGUGGGUGGAAUUCCUAGUGUAGAGGUGAAAUUCGUAGAUAUUAGGAAGAACACCGGUGGCGAAGGCGGCCCACUGGAUCGGUACUGACGCUGAGGUGCGAAAGCGUGGGGAGCAAACAGG